UACCCCGGGCCGUUAACCUGGGAACUGCACUUGUGACUGCACGGCUAGAGUACGGUAGAGGGGGAGUGGAAUUCCGCGUGUAGCAGUGAAAUGCGUAGAUAUGCGGAGGAACACCGAUGGCGAAGGCAAUACCCCUCGGACCUGUACUGACGCUCAUGCACGAAAGCGUGGGGAGCAAACAGGAUUAGAUACCCUGGUAG
rnacentral:rRNA from 1 species